CGAACGCUGGCGGCGUGCCUAAUACAUGCAAGUAGAACGCUGAAGAGAGGAGCUUGCUCUUCUUGGAUGAGUUGCGAACGGGUGAGUAACGCGUAGGUAACCUGCCUUGUAGCGGGGGAUAACUAUUGGAAACGAUAGCUAAUACCGCAUAACAAUGGAUGACACAUGUCAUUUAUUUGAAAGGGGCAAUUGUUCCACUACAAGAUGGACCUGCGUUGUAUUAGCUAGUAGGUGAGGUAAUGGCUCACCUAGGCGACGAUACAUAGCCGACCUGAGAGGGUGAUCGGCCACACUGGGACUGAGACACGGCCCAGACUCCUACGGGAGGCAGCAGUAGGGAAUCUUCGGCAAUGGGGGCAACCCUGACCGAGCAACGCCGCGUGAGUGAAGAAGGUUUUCGGAUCGUAAAGCUCUGUUGUAAGUCAAGAACGGGUGUGAGAGUGGAAAGUUCACACUAUGACGGUAGCUUACCAGAAAGGGACGGCUAACUACGUGCCAGCAGCCGCGGUAAUACGUAGGUCCCGAGCGUUGUCCGGAUUUAUUGGGCGUAAAGCGAGCGCAGGCGGUUUGAUAAGUCUGAAGUUAAAGGCUGUGGCUCAACCAUAGUUCGCUUUGGAAACUGUCAAACUUGAGUGCAGAAGGGGAGAGUGGAAUUCCAUGUGUAGCGGUGAAAUGCGUAGAUAUAUGGAGGAACACCGGUGGCGAAAGCGGCUCUCUGGUCUGUAACUGACGCUGAGGCUCGAAAGCGUGGGGAGCGAACAGGAUUAGAUACCCUGGUAGUCCACGCCGUAAACGAUGAGUGCUAGGUGUUGGAUCCUUUCCGGGAUUCAGUGCCGCAGCUAACGCAUUAAGCACUCCGCCUGGGGAGUACGACCGCAAGGUUGAAACUCAAAGGAAUUGACGGGGGCCCGCACAAGCGGUGGAGCAUGUGGUUUAAUUCGAAGCAACGCGAAGAACCUUACCAGGUCUUGACAUCCCGAUGCUAUUUCUAGAGAUAGAAAGUUACUUCGGUACAUCGGUGACAGGUGGUGCAUGGUUGUCGUCAGCUCGUGUCGUGAGAUGUUGGGUUAAGUCCCGCAACGAGCGCAACCCCUAUUGUUAGUUGCCAUCAUUCAGUUGGGCACUCUAGCGAGACUGCCGGUAAUAAACCGGAGGAAGGUGGGGAUGACGUCAAAUCAUCAUGCCCCUUAUGACCUGGGCUACACACGUGCUACAAUGGUUGGUACAACGAGUUGCGAGUCGGUGACGGCGAGCUAAUCUCUUAAAGCCAAUCUCAGUUCGGAUUGUAGGCUGCAACUCGCCUACAUGAAGUCGGAAUCGCUAGUAAUCGCGGAUCAGCACGCCGCGGUGAAUACGUUCCCGGGCCUUGUACACACCGCCCGUCACACCACGAGAGUUUGUAACACCCGAAGUCGGUGAGGUAACCUUUUGGAGCCAGCCGCCUAAGGUGGGACAGAUGAAAGGG
rnacentral:rRNA from 1 species